rnacentral:rRNA from 1 species
UACGAAGGGGGCUAGCGUUGUUCGGAAUUACUGGGCGUAAAGCGCGCGUAGGCGGUGAUCUUUGUCAGAGGUGAAAGCCCGGGGCUCAACUCCGGAAUUGCCUUUGAAACGGGAUUGCUUGAGUCCGAGAGAGGAUGGCGGAAUUCCUAGUGUAGAGGUGAAAUGCGUAGAUAUCUGGAGGAACACCGGUGGCGAAGGCGGCAUCCUGGACCGGCAUUGACGCUGAGGCGCGAAAGCCAGGGGAGCAAACGGG